rnacentral:lncRNA from 1 species
AUUUGCCUCCCCAACCCCCCUUAACUCCAACCAGUAAAGGUUAACCUUCUCAAACGCUGCUUUCAGUCUUAUUCUCUUCCAGCUAUGACAUUUUAUGCACAAAUCCUGGUUUCUCCUCCUGGAAGUCUGGUAAUAGAAGGAAAUGUGACAUAAUCCGCUUGCCUAGAACUUGCCCUCACCGUCUCUGCCCCCCAGUUUACUCUUCACUUCCUACCCUUGCCUCACUUCUCCCCAGGCUGCUGAGAUCCGUCUGUGGACCGGGUUUGUUGAUGUGCUUUCAAAGGAGCCGCCCGGGAGAAGUGCAAACGGGGCUCAGCAGGGAGAGGGUCUUUUCCCCCUUCUGUUUUGGAAGGAUCGCAUUGGAUCUCAGCCGAGCCCUCAAGGUAUGGCCAUGUGGGUGUGAUUACUGUUAGGAUAACUCCUAUUUGUAAACUUUGCCAGUCUAUGUUGCCUGUGUUACCCAGCAGCAGGAGAGGGGGUGGAGGAGUGAUAACUUGAGAGAAAACUGACAACCUCACCCCCAAUACGGCCCCCUCAACCCAGGCAGGCGGCUACUGAGUCUUUUUCCUCCAGGUUUGCUCUAAAUACAGAGCUGGGCAAGGAGAUCGCUGCUUCAAGUCUGUGCUCAGAGUGCAGGGCGUGCUUCCCCUCCCACUGUGGAGAAGCAAAUGGCUGGGUUCUGGGCUCCUCACCGGAGUCCCUUGGCAGGAGGUUCCCAUCUGCUGCUGCUCUCCCACCACCCAGGUUCCCAGAUCCCAGAGGGAAACUUCUCAGCCCCUUAAUCGCCGCCAUCUGCUUUCUUCUCUCCAUCACCAACCGGACCUCAGGACCCCGGGUGUGCAUCCAGGCUGGAGGGGUCCGCAUACAGUUUUUUCUCUGAACGGUGGGGGUGGGGGCAGGAGGGCAUUGGGAUGGAGCCGCAAAGGACUCAACUCAAGCGUUUUUCCGGAGGCCUGAGGGACCCCCAGCUGUCUGAGUCCCGCCAGUCGUCACCCCUCACCCCACCAGCAAGCAGCACCCUUGUCGGGUUCAGCUUAGAGCCACAGCCAGAGUGCGCCCCCUAGCGGGGGCUCCGAGUGGGCCGAGCCUUCCAGGUUCAGCCUCUAGGAACUGAAGUUGGC